GACGAACGCUAGCGGCGUGCUUAACACAUGCAAGUCGAACGAUGAACCCGGAGCUUGCUCCGGUGGAUUAGUGGCGAACGGGUGAGUAACACGUGAGUAACCUGCCCUUGACUCUGGGAUAACUGCGGGAAACUGUAGCUAAUACCGGAUACGACCCUCGGCGGCAUCGCCAGGGGGUGGAAAGAAUUUCGGUCAAGGAUGGACUCGCGGCCUAUCAGCUGGUUGGUGAGGUAACGGCUCACCAAGGCGACGACGGGUAGCCGGCCUGAGAGGGUGACCGGCCACACUGGGACUGAGACACGGCCCAGACUCCUACGGGAGGCAGCAGUGGGGAAUACUGCACAAUGGGCGCAAGCCUGAUGCAGCAACGCCGCGUGAGGGAUGACGGCCUUCGGGUUGUAAACCUCUUUUAGUAGGGAAGAAGCGAAAGUGACGGUACCUGCAGAAAAAGCACCGGCUAACUACGUGCCAGCCGCCGCGGUAA
rnacentral:rRNA from 1 species